UACGAAGGGGGCGUAGCGUUGUUCGGAAUCACUGGGCGUAAAGCGCACGUAGGCGGACUUUAAGUCAGAGGUGAAAGCCUGGAGCUCAACUCCAGAACUGCCUUUGAUACUGGGAGUCUCGAGUUCGGAAGAGGUUGGUGGAACUGCGAGUGUAGAGGUGAAAUUCGCAGAUAUUCGCAAGAACACCAGUGGCGAAGGCGGCCAACUGGUCCGAUACUGACGCUGAGGUGCG
rnacentral:rRNA from 1 species